rnacentral:rRNA from 1 species
GACGAACGCUGGCGGCGUGCUUAACACAUGCAAGUCGAACGGUAAGGCCCUUCGGGGUACACGAGUGGCGAACGGGUGAGUAACACGUGGGUGAUCUGCCCUGCACUUCGGGAUAAGCCUGGGAAACUGGGUCUAAUACCGGAUAGGACUCCUGCCUGCAUGGGUGGGGGUGGAAAGCUUUUGUGGUGUGGGAUGGGCCCGCGGCCUAUCAGCUUGUUGGUGGGGUGAUGGCCUACCAAGGCGACGACGGGUAGCCGGCCUGAGAGGGGGACCGGCCACACUGGGACUGAGAUACGGCCCAGACUCCUACGGGAGGCAGCAGUGGGGAAUAUUGCACAAUGGGCGCAAGCCUGAUGCAGCGACGCCGCGUGAGGGAUGACGGCCUUCGGGUUGUAAACCUCUUUCAGCACAGACGAAGCGCAAGUGACGGUAUGUGCAGAAGAAGGACCGGCCAACUACGUGCCAGCAGCCGCCGCAG